rnacentral:rRNA from 1 species
UACAGAGGUCCCAAGCGUUGUUCGGAUUCAUUGGGCGUAAAGGGUGCGUAGGCGGCGCGGUAAGUCGGGUGUGAAAUCUCGGAGCUUAACUCCGAAACUGCAUUCGAUACUGCCGUGCUUGAGGACUGGAGAGGAGACUGGAAUUUACGGUGUAGCGGUGAAAUGCGUAGAUAUCGUAAGGAAGACCAGUGGCGAAGGCGGGUCUCUGGACAGUUCCUGACGCUUAGGCACGCAGGCAAGGGGAGCAAACGGG